GAUAAAGAAAAUACAGUGUACAUACACAAAGGAGUAUUAUUCAGCCAUAAAGAAUGAAAUAUCCCUAGAUUUCCAAGAUGGUGGAAUAGAGGAGUCACUUUCCUGACUGCUCCAUGGCACAAAACCAAGAAAGCAGAUAGUCAGCUUCUCAGUAAGGUGGGUGAAAAAGAAGGGGGGACUUUAUUGGGAAUUAAUGCUGGACAUUCAAAGCAGAUUGGGGAAUUCAGGAGGCUGGAUAUAAUAAGGAAGAAAUCCCCCAUGCCACCUCCAGCACUAGCUGGAGCCAUCCUGCCACAAGCAAAGUGGAGGGAUAAGGGAAUUAAAGGAAUGUGCAUUUUCAGGAGGCUUGUGGUGUGUCUGGGCUCAGAGAGAUCAGAGAUCAAAGACACUGUGGACUAACCUGAAAGGUGGGGUGCACAAUAUCCUUGGAAGGGAAAGAAGCUGCCUCUCUCUUGGCUGCCCAAGGAGGACAGAGGAAGGAGCCAUUCUGCAGCUGCACUGUGGAGUCCAGCAGCAGUGGGAGUGGAUUCCUGGAAAACACAAGCUGGGCCCUAAAUACAGGCCUGUUAAACUCACACCACAUGACACAGAGUGAGCCUAAGUGACCAGGAGAAAAUCAGACACAGAGAGGAGUUCACACAGGGGAAUACAGUUGUGGAAACCCACCCAGCUAUCCCUCCCCUUGACUCCAGCAGCUUGGAGGACCAGCAGGGAGGGCCGUGUCCAGCCAGGAACUCAAAAGGCUGGGGGUGGGGAAGUGACCAAGUUUGGAGGCUGAACCCUAGGGACCUGGAAACAGAGGGUCCACAGGUGAUGGGAGGGGACAAAUGGUUGCCUCCUCUGCUGCAGGAGUGGAACCUAGGGGCGAUUCCUGUGGUACAGUCUCCCCGUGUGGACAACCAAUGCUGGACCCUGGAGGUAUGCCGAGUUAGAAUCUAAAGACCAAUCUAAAGAUUCAGUGAAGAACCUGUAGCCUACCGAGGCCUCGACCCCACCUAUAGGAGUGCUGCCUAUGGGAUUUCCUCUCAUACUCCAGUGACCCCACCCUCAGGGUGCAGCAGACAUCACAGCCCAUCCCACCCCACCUAACCCUGCUGAGGAGGGAAGCUGAGAAGUUUUUGAAUUCCAGUGGAAACAAUUCUUUAACUUUCCAUUGAGAAAUCCUUUUCUUCUUCUUUUCUGUUUAAUUGUGAACUGAAUGGUUCAUGACACAUACAUAUUUGUCUCUUUUCUCAUUUCUAGCAUUAUUUGAAGGCAGUUAUUUUUUAUGGCUCAGUCUUUUGAGGGCAAGAAUUUUUUUAUGUAAUUUUUAAAAAAUUUAUAUAUGACAGCAGAAUGCAUUGCAAUUCUUAUUACAUAUAUAGAGCACAAUUUUUCAUAUCUCUGGUUGUAUAUACAGUAUAUUCACACCAAUUCGUGUUUUCAUACAUGUACUUUGGAUAGUAAUGAUCAUCACAUUCCACCAUCAUUAAUUACCCCAUGCCCCCUCCCUUCCUCUAAAACCCCUCUGCCUUAUCUAGAGUUCAUCUAUUUCUCCCAUGCUCCCACUCCCUAUCCCACUGUGAAUCAGCCUCCUUAGAGGGUGAGGAUGUUUGAUUAGUAAAUUUCAGUUUUGUAUUCUUUUAUUAUAUAUAUAUAUUAUAUAUAUAUACAUAAUAUUUAUAUAUUCUAACUGAUCUGUUUCCCUUGAUUCUCUUUCCUUUUUCUAUUAACAGCAAAAUUCUUUUUUUCUCUCUUUCAUGCUUCUAAUUUUUACUUCUAUUUUCUCUCCUUCUCCUUCAUAAUCAUCACAUCCUACAUCUCAUCUGUUUCCUCUCUGUGAGGUAAAGGAUAAUGUAAAGAGUGAAAUCAGAAAGAAAAUACAGAAAGGGAAAGAUCAGUUGAAUAAAGAUAUAGAGAUUCUUGGUGUGGGGGGGAAACAACACAAAACAGAAAUCCUUGAAAUGAAGAAAUCAAUAAAUCAAAUUAAAAAUUCAAUGGAAAGCGUCAAUAGCAGACUUCUAGACUAGAACACUUGGAAGACAGAGUUUCAGGCAAUAGAGGAAAAACAUAUAAUUUUGAAAAUAAAGUUGACCAUGGAGAAAAGAUGUUAAGAGACAAUGAGCAGAACUUCCAAGAAACAUGGGAUAACAGGAAAAGACUAAAUAUACUGUAUCAGGAUAGAUGAUGGCUUGGAGAUACAAACCAAAGUAAUGUACAAAUUUUUCAAUAACAUAAUAUCAGAAAAUUUCCCAAAUAUUAAGAAUGAAAUGGAAAAUUAAAUACAGGAGGCUUACAGGUCCCUAAAUAUACAAAAUUACAACAGACCCAUGCCAAGGCACAUUAUUAUAAAUAUGCCUAACAUAUAGAAUAAGGACAGAAUUUUACAGGCUGCUAGAGGAAUAUCACAGGUCACAUUUAGAAGUAAUCCAAUCCAGAUCUCAGCUGAUUUCUCAGCCCAGACCCUAAAAGUAGGAGUUUGUGGAAUAAUAUAUACUCAGCUCUGAAAUAAAAUAGAUACAAGCUAAGAAUAAUAUACCCAGCAAAAUUAAGCUUCAGAAUUGACAAAGAAAUAAAAACCUUCCAUGAUAAACAAAAGUUAAAAGAAUUCACAAGUAGAAAACCUGAACUACAAAAUAUACUCAAUAAGAUAUUUCAUGAAGAAGAAAUAAAAAAUAAAAGUUAACACCAGCAAAGGGGGAAGCAAUAUCAGAAGAAUAGUCAAUCAAAGGAGAAACUAAUUAAAAUUAAAAGUCAUAAAUAAAUCAAAAUGACAGGGAAUAAAAAUCAUAUCUCAACAAUAACAUUGAACCUAAAUGGCCUAAAUUUAUCAAUCAAAAGGCAUAGACUGCCAGAUUGGAUUAAAAAUAAGACCCAACAAUAUGCUGUCUCCAGGAGACUCACCUCAUAGGCAAAAGCAUCCACAGACUGAAGGUAAAGUAUGGGGGGAAAAAUAUAAUUUACAUGGAUCUUGUAAACAAGCAGGGGUUUCUAUCAUAUCAGAUGAAGUGGACUCCAAGCCAAAGUUAAUCAGAAAGAACAAAGAUGGAGACAAAGGUACCAAAAAACACAUGUUGGAUAAAAGAUAUCCUUUUUAAGAACUAGUGCUGGGAAAAGAACUAAACAGACAUUUCCCAAAGUAAUAGGUAGAAAUGACCAAUAAAUGUAUGAAAAAAUGUUUAACAUCUCUAGUAAUAGGGAAAUGCAAGUCAAAACCACAUUGAGACUUCCUCUCACUUCCAUUAGAAAGGCAAUUAUCAAGAAUUCAAAUAAUAAGUGUUGGUGAGGUUAUAAGAAAAAAGGUACACUCAAAUUGUUGGCAGUACUGCAAAUUAAUGUAACCAUUCUAGAAAGUAGUAUAAUGAUUUCUCAAACCAACAACAACAACAACAAAAAAAAACUAGGACUGAAACCACCAUAUGACCCAGCUAUCCCAUUUCUUGGUAUAUAUCCAAAAGAUCUAAAAUCAGCAAACUAUAGGGAUGCAGCAACAUUGAUGUUUAUAGCAGUAUAAUUCACAAUAGCCAUGAACCUGACUUAGGUGCCCUUCAACAGAUGGAUGGUUAAAGAAAAUGUGGUAUAUGUACACAACGGAGUAUAAGUCAUAAAGAAUAAAGACAUUAUGGCAUUUGCUGGUACAUGGACGGAACUGGAGACUAUCAUGCUAACCGAAAUAAGCCAGACCCAGAAAGUCAAAGGUUGAAUAUUUUCUCUGGUAUAUGGAAGCCAGUCCAAAAUAAAGAGAAAAAAAAGAAAAAAGAGGGGACAGAAUUCCACCAAAAAUAUAAGAUCAGUCAGUGGAGUACAGGAAGAGGAUUGAAGGGGAGGGUGGGGAGAGGGACAGGAAAGGUAAGGGAAAAAUGAAUGAUAAAAGUUUAAGGUGACCAAUAUGCUAAUUACCCAAGUUGAUCAUUACCUCAUAUACAUAUGAAUCUAAAUAUCACAUUGUGUCUCAACUAUGAACAAUUUGAGUCAAUAAACAAAAUAAAAACAGAAUAUUUUAAAAAUUUGAUAUAUAUGUAAUCAAUGGAAUAUUACUCAGCCUUUAAAAAGUAAUGAAAUUUUCAUCAUAAAACAAUAUGAAUGAAACUUUAAGACACUGUGUUAAGUGAAACAAUCCAGACACAAAUGAAUAAAUACUGUAUGAUUCCAUUCAUAUGAGGUGCCCAGAAUAAUCAAAUCCAUUAAGACAAAGAAGAGUGCUUGGGGGAGGCAGAAGAGGAUGUUACUGUUUCACAGAUAGGGAGUUCGAGCUAAGGGUGAUGAAAAGCUCUGGAGAUGGAUGGUGUGGGUUGUUCAACAAGGUGAAUGUGCUUAAUGCUACUAUCUGUGGUUAAAAUGGGAAAUUUUAUGUUAUGUAUGUUUUACCACAAUCAAAAAAGCAGUGGGAUUAUGGCUAUCAUAUCCAUGUCUAUAAUUUUUAAUCUCUUUUAUGACUGGCAAGUAUUUCAAUUAUAAUUUGAAAAGUUAAAAAAUGUUUUUGUCAUAUUCCUUGAACAAUGCAGCUCUGAGAAGGAUAGGCACAAAAUGUUUUUUUAAAAAAUAUUAUUCUAAGAAUUUAUCCUCUAAGACAACACACAUAAAUAAAAAAAAUAGACAAAUGGGAAAAAGUUUUUAGAAGCAACUUAGUAUAACAUUUGCAAACUGAGUCAUAUUCACAUACAACACUGCAUGUGAAUAGCACAUUUGAGAACUCCAAUUGUUUUGAAGGAUCUGGAGAAACUGUAUUGCACUGGAAUAUCCCAGAAAAAUUAUACAAAGUAUGUUAAUGUGGGUAAGCCCUAUUUCUGUAACAUGUUUUCAAUAAUAAAAAGAUGACUCUGGAACAGACAGUCUGGAGAUUUGGAGACCUAAGCCUCAGUCAGGAUUGGAUACAUUAGUUAGC
rnacentral:lncRNA from 1 species